AGUGAUGAUGGCAAAGAGGCCACACCCGUUCCCAUCCCGAACACGGAAGUUAAGCUCUUUUGCGCCGAUGGUAGUUGGGGGUCUCCCCCUGUGAGAGUAGGACUU
rnacentral:rRNA from 1 species